CUUUUUUUUUUUUUUUUUGUGGGGUGAAUUGCAAGGUUUAAUUUUCUGUUAGUUCUCAUCUCUAUCUUUGAUGUACAUAAUCAAUCACCAUAUUACUUAUCAUACAUCACCUUUUCCUUUUGAGGGGGAGGGAGAAGAGGUUUGUUUUUGUGAUCUUUGCAGAGAGCUGGGUGUGCGAGUUGGGCUUUUUGAGCAUGCUGUUGUGGAGCAAAAUAGUUACAAUCAGCAAUGUAAAGUUUCGCUUGCAUUUUGAAAGAGCUUAGCUUGAAAUUCUUCACUAUACAUUCCCUGUUUCCG
rnacentral:misc_RNA from 1 species